rnacentral:lncRNA from 1 species
GGUACUUGUUCUAUACCCUAGGCUGGCCCAGAAGUAAUGGGAAUCUUCCUGCUUCAGCCUCCAGAGUGUUGUGAUUACAGGGUCUCUCACUGGCUUGGAGGUUACCAAGUAGGCUACAAUUGUUGGCCACAGAGCCCUGUGGAGCCACUGUCUCUGUCUCCCCACUGUUGAGAUUGCAAGCAGGUACUACCAUGCCUAGCUUUUUAAAAGUAUGGAUUCUAAGACUUAUUGCCUCAUGCUGAAAAGUUCCCAUCAAGUUUAUAAAAACAACCAAGUUGAGACUCUUCCUUCCCCCUCCACCGGCCCGACCUCUCCUAAGGUUCCUCCCAAAGUCCAUGGAAGCUUCUCCGAACUCCAGGAAUCUUCCGAACUUCCCUGGCAUCCUCGUUGGCUAAGGACUUGGAGUGGAGGGAACCUGGUGGGAGACUGUGCCCACGGCUUAGGAGACACGGUGUUCCAAACGCUUCAUUCAUCCCACUCAUCUUUGGGCAGCUUUACUGAGCACCCUGGAAGCCUCUGCUCUUCUGAACUCGGCUUUCCAUCUCGCCCUGCACAUGGAUCUACAUGCCUGAGACCUACUGGACCUUGCUGGUUGUUUUGCAAAACUCAGGAGAGCAACCCACGGAGGUUGGAGUUCAGG